rnacentral:rRNA from 1 species
AUUGAACGCUGGCGGCAGGCCUAACACAUGCACGUCGAGCGAGCGGCGGACGGGGGAGUAAUGUAUGGGGCCUGCUCGAUUGCGGGGGAUAACUACUGGACACGGUGGCUAAUACCGCCUACUAUCGUAUAACCCAUAUGGGUUUAGUGAGUAGUUGGGGUAAAGGAUCACCUAGGCGACGAUCGCGAGCUGGUCUGAGAGGAUGAUCAGCCACACUGGGACUGCGAAACGGCCAAGACGCCUUCGGAGGCAGCAGUGGGGCAUAUUGCACAAGGGGAGCAAGCCUGAUGCAGCCAUGCCGCGUGGAUGAAGAAGGCCUUAGGGUGGUAAAGUACUUUCAGCGGGGAGGCGUUACCAGCAGAAGAAGCACCGGCUAACUCCGUGCCAGCAGCCGCGGUAAUAC